CUCCUCCAGUGGGUGGAGCCGAUUCACACUGUUGAGAGUGUGAGACAGGGUUAAACAUUCAAAUAUUAUUUUUGUCAUCGCUGUCUGUCUAAAGACAUAAUGUUUCUCUUUACCUGGAUAAUAAUGCAACUUUGUAUGGGAAAUUCUUUUGGAGAUACAAUACAACCAUUUACAACAGAAAAACUUGUUUUUGAUGGUGAAAAUGUGACUCUCUCCUGUAACUACAGUCUCACUAGUGGCACUAGUGUUACUCUCUAUUGGUAUCGCCAGUAUCUCAGCAGAGCAAAACCAGAAUUUUUACUUUUUGUCACUGAAUAUUCAAGCAAAUCUGAGCCUGAUCUUCGUCUGUAUUCAAAAGCUACAAAAGAGAUCAAACGUGUGGAUCUGGAGAUCUCCUCUGCUGAAGUGUCAGACUCUGCUGUGUAUUACUGUGCCCUGCAGCCCACAGUCACAGGAAACACUAGAACACUGUACAAAAACCCUUCAUAAUCUUAUUUAGUGAAAGAAGAAAGAUACACAAAGA